rnacentral:lncRNA from 1 species
AUGAGAAGUGAGGGGUCCCCGUUUACACGGCUGUGCCUGCCACAGCAGUGCGCAUUGGAAUUUUCCACCCAAAAGGCAAGUGGGGUGGCUGCUUCCCACUGCACUGCCCCUUACACAGAGAGCAGGGCAGGGCCAGUGUCCCCGCUUCCCUCCCCAGGGCACAGGCGGAUGGCGGGGUGGAAAGGUUUUUAUUAUCGCUUUGGUCAGAGGGGGUGCAGCUGGGCCAGGGCUUGGGGUGCUGGGGCUGCCAGUGGGCGGGUGGGCAGGAGGCAGUGGCCUCUGCCAUCAGCCUGCCCCAGAGGUUGGGGCAGGACGCCGGCUCAGUCAGAGUAGAUAAUGAAGCCGGAGAAGGUGCUAUACUUGUUGCUGUUGCCACCAUGGGCUUUGCCGCCGUCCAGCUUGAUGAAGACCUCGUCGCCCGCGUCCAGGUGCAGGAUCACGCUGUUGCUGGCAUAAUCGUAGUUCUGGUCAGCGUCCUGGGCGAUGGCACUGGCCCGCACCUGUGGGGGUGUGGUGUGAGGCCUCCCACCCGUCUCCCCGGAGGCAGGACACAGGGGAGCUGAGGUCUCACUGUCCCGGAGAAGCCCUAAGCAUUGCUCCGGAGCUGGGAUGGAGGCUGCCCUCUCCCCUUUGUGCUCCUCCUCCUGCCUGAAUGGUGUGAUGCCUCCCCCCUUGGUGUGUCCCUGUUCUACCUGGGGACAGAUGGCGGAUGCACCUUGGCCCAUAGGCCAGGUGGCCAGCCCAACACCAGGCUACUAGGAGUGACUUAACCAGGCACCACAGGGUCCUUGAAGGGAGAGACACACAGGACCCAGGUGGGGAGCAGCAUUUAGGCUCAAAGCCUGCUGUCCCUUGGAGGGGGCCCUGGCUGUAAUCACAGCCGCUGUGAGGUGUGCAGUGGUGACUGAACACCUCCGACACUGAACACCUCUCUAACACCAGGUGAUGGCAGCCGGAGCCGGAAGACGGGUGCUAGGGCAGGUAGGAAGAGAAGGCUAAUAGGACUGGGCCCCUGGCAGGGAGGCAUCCCCACGGCCCUCCGUCUCCUGCCCGCUCCUGGAAGGCAGUGCCCCUCCAAGCCCGGCCCUUUGCUCCCAGGCUGGUAAAGUCGGGGAAGGGGCCUCCCUUCCUCCCUGCAGGAGAUGGCAGAGGUCAGGGCCUGGAGGCUGACUCAGCAGUGACUCUGCCUGCGGGAGAGGCCCUGCCCGCACUGCACUUGGCCCUCUGUCCCUGCUCCGCCUCUCCAGGCCUGGGAAAGAGCUACCCUCCAGGCUCAGCUGGGCAAACUCGAGUCUGGCUGAGGGUUGGGGGGGUAAGAGGAGGAGGAGGUGCUGUCCGUCAGGAGGCUGUUUCCUGUGCCUAGAGAAACGGAUGCGAAGACCCAUCUCACUGCCAUUCACCACAGCAGUUCUGAUGGCAAAGGAAAGAAAUGUAAAUCUUGAGGGGCCUGUGCUACUGGGAAAGAGCUGAAAGCAGGCAGCCAACUUCUGUAUGGUUCCCUGGGCCCUACUCCUGGUGGUAUUUAUUAGUACACAUGCUUUCAUUAUCUCUGCUAAUAAAUUACUACUAAUAACAAUUAUUUUUAUUACCAGACUCAUUUAGCCUUAACUCAUUAGAACAGUGUGCUCAGUAAUAGCCAAACCCAUUAGAAGCCUGUCAUCUGUCAUCGGGAAUCUCCCAGUGACGUGACAGGCGUCAGAACUGUUCUGCUUGUUUAUUAUUUAUUCAUCACCAUGAUUGUCGCUGUAAUUGUCCUAAUUAUCCGUGGGGGCCAGGAGGAUUGAUGCCCUUCGGUCCUCGGAGGCUGGGGACUGGGGAUGGAACCCCAGGGUCCCGGUUCUCUGCGGGGCUCUGGAAGCAGCCAAGGAUCCCAGCAGCUUGGUGGGGGGGGUUGGGGACGGUCUCCAGAGAAGGAUAAAAGCAGUGUGUGACUUGAGCCCUGCAAGGGCUGCUGGGAGGGGAAACUGAGGUAGCAGCCUGACCAGCACAACUGGCCGUGGGGGUCCAGGAAGCCUGUCCCUGCCCUGUCACUGCCGGGGUCCUGGAGAGCUGCUGUGGGUCCCAGCCUGGCCUGCAGAGGACACAUGGAUUUACCCUUUGCUGGGCCAUGCUGCGCCAGGCUCUGUGCUGUAUGCUGUGGGGGCUGGGGACUCUCCCGCCCCCAGGUGAGAGGCGACUCCAGCCCUCCACUCACAUGCAGCACCACUCCCACCCGCCCUCGCCCCCUCAUGAGCCCCCUCUGCUGCCGUCCUGGGUGGGCAGCACACUGACACUGCCCCUGCUGUCCCCACAGCCCCUGCUCCACCCGGCUUCUUGGUUGUGUCCUUCCCGCUGGGUCUGAACCCUGGCUAUGGCGACACUGAAGGCACUACCCAGCCCUCUCCUCAGGCUACUGGCUUCCUGCUGACUGGGGAGGGCCUGGAGCCCUCAGGGUGAGGGGUGACCCCAGAGGGGCUGUAGCUGAGCCUCACUCCCGACUCUUCUUCCCCACGGAAGGCCAGGAGCCCAGAUUAUACUCCGCCUUCCCAGAGAACUUCUGGAAGCGUUUGCAGGCAGAAGGCCAGGUAGGGUCAGUAAAGGGCACAGGCAGCCCCAACCCUGAAGGCGCAGGGGGCGAAAGCUCCUCUCUCCUGUCCCCACCGACCGUCCAGCCCUGCCAUUUUCCACUGCACACUUGAAUGUCCUUGUGCCCCUCCAACUGGCCGUGUCUACUCACUUGGGGGACCCAGGCUCGCCAUGUUCUGCCCUAGCCAGAGCCAGGGCAGCCCCCACAUCACUCCUCCUAGCCCACCCUCAACACAGUACUCGCUGGGGGAUUACCUGAGACACUACUGCCCCCCACUGCAUGCACCACACGGACUGGACCCCAAUCCAGUUUUCACCAGGAGUUCCGCGCCAACUGAGGCAGGACUGGUGACACAACUGAGGCUCCCGGGCCAUCAGGAAGUAAGAGCCUCAGAGGAUCUGGGAGAGGGCUGUGGAACCCACUGCUUCUCCUGUGUUCUGGGGGGUGGGUGGUCUGGAUGACUGUUAAAAGGCUGGGUCUUUGAAGAUUCUUAGGUAAAGCCACCUCCUUUUUCCUACUAGCCUGUGGGCCCCUCCCAGGAGCCCCUUCUGCCAGGCUUCUGCAGCACACAAAGGGCUUUUGGGACAGCUUCACCAUCAGGUGAGUAAGGCAAGUGCCCCCGACCCCAGCACCCACCCUCGCCAGGUGGCACACAGCCGGUGGCCUAGCAGCUGCUUCUCCACCGCAGCCUGACGCCACAGCUUGGUGACAGCCCCAACUUUCUUUGGGAAGGAAGAUACCAUCAGUGUGGCCACACUGUCCCUCCUUGGUGAUUAAUACGGGAACUGUGGGCUGUCUGCAAAGGAGCCCUCACAGGGUGCUGGGCCUCCUAUUUGGUCAGGAACCAAGGACAAAGAGGAGAGACACCAGGAAACUAGAGACACAGUAAUGAACAGAAGAGUGGGCCUGGGCCCUUGGGUCAGAGACCAGAAAGCCAGGGGGGUGGAGGGGAAUGGGGGACACAGGGAAGAGAUGGAUGGGGGAGAAAAGACAGGGACAGGCAGAAACCAGAGGAGGCAGAGGCACAGAGGCAGGCAGGGCACAGAGAGGAGGGGACACACUUUUAAGCAGACAGCAGCGGGCAGGCCCUUCCCUUUAGUGACCCUAAGGCCAGCAGGAGCAGGGUAGUGCUGUGGCCCGGGGUUCCAACCCGGUCUUGGUCUCCACCCAGGGUGUACUGCUUUCAAUCCCUUCCAGCCAGGGGUCCCCUCCUUCCAGGAGAAUGUGAGCCUGACCACACCUGCGACCCCCAAGUCAGCUUGCUGGGAAACAUCCCUGGGGCACGGUGAGAUCCAGGGGGUGCGGGGCGGGCGAUCCCAAGGAGAGCGCAGUGCACAGCGCAACAGGCAGGGACCGCAGAGGAUCCCAUCACCUGAGAGUCAGGAGAAGUUGGACCUGGGAGGCUGCGGGGAAACUUUUCCCGGGAGGCAGCGACCUCCUAGCUGGAAGGAACUGCGCAUUUCUGGGCUUUGUGAGGGUGCAGACCGCCGGAGGGGGCUGCUGCGGCUCAGGCUGCCACAGCCCUCCGCG